rnacentral:rRNA from 1 species
GACGAACGCUGGCGGCGUGCUUAACACAUGCAAGUCGAACGGAAAGGCCCUGCUUAUGUGGGGUGCCUGCGUGGCGAACGAGUGAGUAACACGUGAGUAACCUGCCCUCGACAUUGGGAUAACUUCAGGACACUGAGGCUAAUACCGGAUAGGAGCUCCUGCUGCAUGGUGGGGGUUGGAAAGUUUCGGCGGUUGGGGAUGGACUCGCGGCUUAUCAGCUUGUUGGUGGGGUAGUGGCUUACCAAGGCUUUGACGGGUAGACGGCCUGAGUGGGUGACCGGCAACAUCGGGACUGGGAUACGGCCCAGACUCCUACGGUGGGCAGCAGUGAGGAAUAUUGGACAAUGGGCGGAAGCCAGAUGCAGCAACGCCGCGUGCGGGAUAAAGGCCAUCGGGUUGUAAACCGCUUGAGCCUGAGACGAAGGGAGAGUGACGGUAAUGGGUAAGUAAGCACCGGCUAACUACGUG